GUUAUGGUAUACAGGAGACAGACACAGAUGUAACAGGUAAUGGAUGUUUAUUUGACCACAGUAGAGCAGGUGAACACACACAGGUGAGUGAACUGGUUGAAUAGCAGUUUGAGCAGGUAGUAUGAGGAAUAGUUACUGUCCUUUCUCUUUGCAGGUAGAUGUAUGUUGGAGCUUGGGGAUCGCUGGAGCACAGAAGAGAUCGCUGGAGAACUGAGGAGCUGAAUGGCACACACCCACACAGCAGACGAGGCACACAGAGGGAAGGAGACACGCUGGAGACAGGUUCACUAAGAACCUCUCCCCAGAUAAGAUCAACCUGAGCACACUGAAGGGAGAGGGUCAGCUGUCCAACCUGGAGCUGGAUGAGGAGGUGCUGCAGAACAUGCUGGAUCUGCCCACCUGGCUGGCCGUCACCCGUGUUUACUGCAACAAGGCUGCUAUACGGAUACAAUGGACAAAGUUGAAGACCAGUCCCAUAUGUUUGGUAAGAAUCUCCCCAUCACUGUGUUUCCCCUCUUGCAUCUUGAUUCUUCUCUCAGUCACAUUCAGUCAUCCCCAUGUCUAUCACAUGAUCUCCAGUCCCCUUUCACUUCUGCAAAUGUAACCUUAUUUUAUUUUUGUGUUUCACUCAAAUGUUACAGCUUCUGAUAAGGUGGGUCCAAUAGAGUGCAACAGUGACUGCAAACUUUCUCAGUGGCUUGGACUACAGUUAACUUAUCUAUAGCCAUUUCGGGAGUUUUAGAAUUGAAACAAACCCAUCACAUCAGAGAU